rnacentral:tRNA from 1 species
UGGGGUGCAGCUCAGUGGCAGAGCACUUGCCUAGCAUGCACAAGGUCCUGGGUUUGAUCCCUAGCACCACAA